rnacentral:lncRNA from 1 species
AUAGCGUUUGGCUUGGCUGGUUGUACAAGUCCAGGCGUGGACGAGUGUGCUUAGAGAUACUGGUGUCUUCUUUUUCUCUGUUGCUAUCUUGUUUUUGUUUGUGGUUUUUGUCAUGAGACACAGACACUGUACGUCAGAGGUCUGGUCUUGGUCCCAAGGAGUUGACUGAUUAUCUUGGUUUGGUUUUAGGCCGGUCUCAGGUUCUGGGGCCUUCCCAUGGAGACAGGUCCAUUUGGAUUGGUCAUAGUGACAGUAAGCUUCUCUGGAAAUCGCAUGUAAGAUGCCCUGUAUUGGUCUUGCUUGUGUUUGUCAUUUCUGUGGUACUGUGAUUCUAUAGUGGUUGCCUGAAAAACGGUUUCUGUGUGUGUCUUGUGUGUCUCUUUGUGUUCGGACUUGGACUGAUGACUGACGACUGUUUUUUAGUUAUGCCUUCUGAAAUAAGCCUAAAAAUCCUGUCAGAUCCCUAUGCUGACCACUUCCUUUCAGAUCAACAGCUGCCCUGCCUCCCACUCCAACUCCAGAGAGCAGCCAGCGGGUCACAGUGGUCCCGCCCAUGGACCUGGAGCCUAGGGAAAAAUGAGCUCGGAAAUCCGGAGCAAAUGAGGAGUGGUCCCUGAGAAGUCAGUGGCCCUGGAUGUUGUGGCUGCUGAAAAAAAAAAAAAAAGAAGAGGAGGCUGUUCGAGUAGCGGCCAAGAGCGCUGCAGGUUCCCAGGCAGCUUCUCAUUCCCCUGUCCCUC